UACGGAGGGUGCAAGCGUUAUCCGGAUUUACUGGUUAAAGGGUGCGUAGGUGGGUCUGUAAGUCAGUGGUGAAAUCUCCGAGCUUAACUCGGAAACUGCCAUUGAUACUAUAGAUCUUGAAUUAUCUGGAGGUAAGCGGAAUAUGUCAUGUAGCGGUGAAAUGCUUAGAUAUGACAUAGAACACCAAUUGCGAAGGCAGCUUACUACGGAUCGAUUGACCACUGAGGCACGAAAGCGUGGGGAUCAA
rnacentral:rRNA from 1 species